GACGAACGCUGGCGGCGUGCUUAACACAUGCAAGUCGAACGGAAAGACCCUGCUUUUGUGGGGUGCUCGAGUGGCGAACGGGUGAGUAACACGUGAGUAACCUGCCCUUGACUUUGGGAUAACUUCAGGAAACUGGGGCUAAUACCGGAUAGGAGCUCCUGCUGCAUGGUGGGGGUUGGAAAGUUUCGGCGGUUGGGGAUGGACUCGCGGCUUAUCAGCUUGUUGGUGGGGUAGUGGCUUACCAAGGCUUUGACGGGUAGCCGGCCUGAGAGGGUGACCGGCCACAUUGGGACUGAGGUACGGCCCAGAAUCCUACGGGAGGCAGCAGUGGGGAAUAUUGCACAAUGGGCGGAAGCCUGAUGCAGCAACGCCGCGUGCGGGAUGACGGCCUUCGGGUUGUAAACCGCUUUCGCCUGUGACGAAGCGUGAGUGACGGUAAUGGGUAAAGAAGCACCGGCUAACUACGUG
rnacentral:rRNA from 1 species